rnacentral:rRNA from 1 species
GACGAACGCUGGCGGCGUGCUUAACACAUGCAAGUCGAACGGAAAGGCCCUGCUUUUGUGGGGUGCUCGAGUGGUGAGCGGGUGAGUAACACGUGAGUAACCUGCCCUUGACUUUGGGAUAACUUCAGGAAACUGGGGCUAAUACCGGAUAGGAGCUCCUGCUGCAUGGUGGGGGUUGGAAAGUUUCGGCGGUUGGGGAUGGACUCGCGGCUUAUCAGCUUGUUGGUGGGGUAGUGGCUUACCAAGGCUUUGACGGGUAGCCGGCCUGAGAGGGUGACCGGCCACAUUGGGACUGAGAUACGGCCCAGACUCCUACGGGAGGCAGCAGUGGGGAAUAUUGCACAAUGGGCGGAAGCCUGAUGCAGCAACGCCGCGUGCGGGAUGACGGCCUUCGGGUUGUAAACCGCUUUCGCCUGUGACGAAGCGUGAGUGACGGUAAUGGGUAAAGAAGCACCGGCUAACUACGUG